rnacentral:rRNA from 1 species
UGAGGAAUAUUGGGCAAUGCCCGCAAGGGUGACCCAGCAACGCCGCGUGAAGGAUGAAUGUCGUAAGAUUGUAAACUCCUGUUAGAGGGGAAGAAUAGUACCGGUUGGACCGGUAUAUGACUGUACCCUCAGAGAAAGCCCCGGCUAACUACGUGCCAGCAGCCGCGGUAAUACGUAGGGGGCAAGCGUUGUCCGGAUUUACUGGGUGUAAAGGGCGCGCAGGCGGGAUAAAAAGUCAGUGGUGAAAUCCUACAGCUUAACUGUAGAACUGCCUUUGAUACUUUUAUUCUUGAGUUCGGGAGAGAGAGACGGAAUUCCAGGUGUAGUGGUGAAAUACGUAGAUAUCUGGAAGAACACCAGUUGCGAAGGCGGUCUCUUGGUCCGACACUGACGCUGAGGCGCGAAAGCGUGGGGAGCAAACA